GUAUACAUAAAAGAAAAGAUACAUUUGUAAAGAAUCAUAAGGUACAACACUUAAUAAUAGUCAUAGGAUACAAUAAGCAAUCAAAUCAUACUAGGAAACAGUCAAUAUAGAUUGUAAGUUUACAAGCGACCAAGUUAGUCGUACAGUCACAAGUGGGAGCGGAUAGGUGAUAAGGAGUGAUGAGAAGAUUAAUAGCAAUAGUAGUGCAGACUUUGUAAAUAGUUUGACAGUGUUGAGGAAAUUAUUUGUUUUAGCAGAGUGAUGGCUUUCGGGGGAAAAACUGUUCUUGUGUCUAGUUGUUCUGGUGUGCAGUGCACUAUAGGGUCGUUUUGAGGGGAGGAGUAAUAUGAAACUGUUUAUG